rnacentral:rRNA from 1 species
AUGACAAACGUCCAAGUCGAGCUGGGCUGCCAAGUUCUGGUGAAAGCAUUGCAAGGUACCGAGUCCGACUUAGCUGCCGAAGGAAUCUUGUUUAGAGAAAUCCGUGAGUUUGCCAGGUUGAACUUCAAUUGCAUUUCUUUCUCUUUUGCCCCGAGGGCUUGUAAUGGGUUAGCGCACGAGUUAGUAGCCUUUGGUGCUCGUCGUCCUGUGAGCCGGGAACUAUGGUCUGAGGACCUCCGAAUGAUGUAA